rnacentral:rRNA from 1 species
GAUGAACGCUGGCGGCGUGCCUAAUACAUGCAAGUCGAGCGAACGGACGAGAAGCUUACUUCUCUGAUGUUAGCGGCGGACGGGUGAGUAACACGUGGAUAACCUACCUAUAAGACUGGGAUAACUUCGGGAAACCGUAGCUAAUACCGGAUAAUAUUUUGAACCGCAUGGUUCAAAAGUGAAAGACGGUCUUGCUGUCACUUAUAGAUGGAUCCGCGCUGCAUUAGCUAGUUGGUAAGGUAACGGCUUACCAAGGCAACGAUGCAUAGCCGACCUGAGAGGGUGAUCGGCCACACUGGAACUGAGACACGGUCCAGACUCCUACGGGAGGCAGCAGUAGGGAAUCUUCCGCAAUGGGCGAAAGCCUGACGGAGCAACGCCGCGUGAGUGAUGAAGGUCUUCGGAUCGUAAAACUCUGUUAUUAGGGAAGAACAUGUGUGUAAGUAACUGUGCACAUCUUGACGGUACCUAAUCAGAAAGCCACGGCUAACUACGUG